GGGGACUGUGGCUCAGUGGCAGAGCACAUGCUUGGCAGUCAGAAGGUCCCGGGUUCAAUCUCUGACAUCUCCA
rnacentral:tRNA from 1 species